CGGCGGACGGGUGAGUAACACGUGGAUAACCUACCUAUAAGACUGGGAUAACUUCGGGAAACCGGAGCUAAUACCGGAUAAUAUUUUGGACCGCAUGGUUCAAAAGUGAAAGACGGUCUUGCUGUCACUUAUAGAUGGAUCCGCGCUGCAUUAGCUAGUUGGUAAGGUAACGGCUUACCAAGGCAACGAUGCAUAGCCGACCUGAGAGGGUGAUCGGCCACACUGGAACUGAGACACGGUCCAG
rnacentral:rRNA from 1 species